CUCCAUGUUCUUGUCCUUCUCUGAAUGCCCAGACGGGGGCGAUGUUAGCUUUGUAAGGCAGCCCAGACUUAUUCCUGUAGCUGGCCCCGUCUCCUUUCAGUCCCUCCCACUUCCACAGAGCUUUGGAGUGAACUCUGAAGUCACUCUCACAGCUGAAUGGAGCUCACUUUAUCACGGUGGAGGGAUCACAUUCAUCUGUCAGCUCUAGAACAGACUCCCUUUACUCUGUGAUAACAGGGACUUUAUGUAACCACGGUUACAGGUCAUCAAUCUGAUUACACUUUCUAAAUAGGCUACAUGAACAUCCAUAACUCAAUUUCUUCAUUUUAAAGUGCAGCGUUCAAGACUGUAAAGGUGUUUUGAAAAGAGAUUUAUAAAUCAUGUGUAAUUUUGUCUAAAAGCUCCAAUGAGGAACUUUUGAUUUAUUCUGAUUUUUGAUUCCAUGAAUUAGGAUGGAUGGAUGGAUGGAUGGAUGAACUGACAGACAGAUAGGUAGAUGGAUGGAUGGAAAAAAGAUUGAUGGAUGGAUGGAUGGAUGGAUGAAGGAACUGACAGGCAGAUAGAUAGAUGAUUGGAUGGGUGGAUAUUUGAUGGAUGGAUGGAUGGAUGGAUGGAUUGAUAGAUGGAUAAAUAAUGGAUGGAUGGAUGGAUAGUUGGGUGGUUGGAUAAAUAAUGGAUGGAUGGAUGAUGGAUGGAUGGAUGGAUGGGUGGUUGGAUAAAUUAUGGAUGGAUGGAUUGAUAGAUGGAUAGAUGGAUGGAUGGAUGGAUGGAUGGAUGUGUGGAUGGAUAGUUGGUUGGAUGGAUAAAUAAUGGAUGGACGGAUGUGUGGAUGGAUAUUUGGUUGGAUGGAUAAAUAAUGGAUGGACGGAUGGGUGGAUGAAGCGACAAACAGAUUGAUAGAUGGAUUGAUAAAUAGAUUGAUCGAUGGAUAUUUGAUGGAUUGAUGGCUUGUUAGAUGAUGAAUGGAUGGAUGGAUAGUUGGAUGAACUGAUAAAUGGAUAGACAACCUGUCAGUUAUGUUGUUUUUCAAUGUUGUUUUGAUUUCCCUUUGUUUUUAAACCAACCAAAAGCUCCUUACUGGAGCUUUAAUCAAAGCGCUCCAUGUCUAUGAGGAUUACAGCACAGGACUUUCACUGAGUCUUUCAUGGUGAACAUUAAACUGCGUCACAGCUGACAUCUCUGAGCCUUUAUGGACUCUGAGUGAGGAGUAGGAGUGAGCUGUCCAACAGAGACUCUAGAUGACACUAAUGGUGGUGAACCCUCCGUGAAAACCCACAAAUGGAGCAGUUUUGGAAAAACCCUUUAUCUUCAAAACUCCCCUCCACCUCCUCAACGUUCUUGUCAGUGUUGAAGCCCCAGUCCUAACUGUAGACCUGGUCCAGGUUCAGACUCACUGUUUUCCUCUAUUUUAUUUCACCUUGAUUAUGUUUAAUAAAUGGAUAUUUAGUUUUAGUUUUGGAUGACAGUUCAAACAGUCCAGGAUAUUCAGUUAUAUGACACAAUAUCUCAUAUUUCACCAGGU